UACGUAGGUGGCAAGCGUUGUCCGGAUUUACUGGGCGUAAAGAGCGCGCAGGCGGUCGUUCAAGUCGCGUGUGAAAGCCCCCGGCUCAACUGGGGAGGGUCACGCGAUACUGAUCGACUCGAAGGCAGGAGAGGGUAGUGGAAUUCCCGGUGUAGUGGUGAAAUGCGUAGAUAUCGGGAGGAACACCAGUGGCGAAAGCAGCUCUCUGGGACGGUACUGACGCUGAGACGCGAAAGCGUGGGGAGCGAACAGG
rnacentral:rRNA from 1 species